rnacentral:lncRNA from 1 species
GAAAAAUAAGGAGAGACACAUUUCCUUGAGAGCCGGGAGUGCACAGUAUGGGCGUGUCGGGAGAGAUCACAGCCUCAGCUGCUACAAAUCAUAAUGCCGUCCAUCUUGUUUUUUGAGGGGAAUGGCUUUACACAGUGCACAUGAGAUUCUCCCUACACCAGAAAUGGAUGCCGAGAUGGGAAGAGGAUUAACAGGAUUCUCUGACAUUUUUCUCAGUUAGAUCAUCUGCAAUUAACUUAGCAACACCAGGUGACUACAGUAGGAUGGGCCAAGAAGCACACACCCGGAGUCUAACAACCAGAAAAUACAAAUAAACUUAAGGACAUCUCACAAA